UAAGCACUCCGCCUGGGGAGUACGACCGCAAGGUUGAAACUCAAAGGAAUUGACGGGGGCCCGCNCNNNNNGUGGAGCANNNGGUUUAAUUNGAAGCAACGCGAAGAACCUUNCCAGGUCUUGACAUCCCUCUGNCCNCUCUAGAGAUAGAGCUUUCNUUCGGGACAGAGGUGACAGGUGGNGCAUGGUNGUCGUCAGCUCGUGUCGUGAGAUGUUGGGUUAAGUCCCGCAACGAGCGCAACCCCUAUUGUUAGUUGCCAUCAUUCAGUUGGGCACUCUAGCGAGACUGCCGGUAAUAAACCGGAGGAAGGUGGGGAUGACGUCAAAUCAUCAUGCCCCUUAUGACCUGGGNUACACACGUG
rnacentral:rRNA from 1 species